rnacentral:rRNA from 1 species
UGAUCACCUACGGGAGGCAGCAGUGGGGAAUAUUGCACAAUGGGCGCAAGCCUGAUGCAGCCAUGCCGCGUGUGUGAAGAAGGCCUUCGGGUUGUAAAGCACUUUCAGUAAAGGAGGAAAGGUUAAGUGUUAAUAGCACUUAGCUGUGACGUUACUUACAGAAGAAGCACCGGCUAACUCCGUGCCAGCAGCCGCGGUAAUACGGAGGGUGCGAGCGUUAAUCGGAAUUACUGGGCGUAAAAGCGUACGCAGGCGGUUUGUUAAGCGAGAUGUGAAAGCCCCGGGCUCAACCUGGGAACUGCAUUUCGAACUGGCAAACUAGAGUGUGAUAGAGGGUGGUAGAAUUUCAGGUGUAGCGGUGAAAUGCGUAGAUUGAUCA